GACGAAGGGGGCUAGCGUUGUUCGGAAUUACUGGGCGUAAAGCGCGUGUAGGCGGUUGUUCAAGUCAGGGGUGAAAUCCUGGAGCUCAACUCCAGAACUGCCUUUGAUACUGAAGAUCUUGAGUUCGGGAGAGGUGAGUGGAACUGCGAGUGUAGAGGUGAAAUUCGUAGAUAUUCGCAAGAACACCAGUGGCAAAGGCGGCUCACUGGCCCGAUACUGACGCUGAG
rnacentral:rRNA from 1 species